AAAUUGAAGAGUUUGAUCAUGGCUCAGAUUGAACGCUGGCGGCAGGCCUAACACAUGCAAGUCGAACGGUAACAGGAAGAAGCUUGCUUCUUUGCUGACGAGUGGCGGACGGGUGAGUAAUGUCUGGGAAACUGCCUGAUGGAGGGGGAUAACUACUGGAAACGGUAGCUAAUACCGCAUAACGUCGCAAGACCAAAGAGGGGGACCUUCGGGCCUCUUGCCAUCGGAUGUGCCCAGAUGGGAUUAGCUAGUAGGUGGGGUAACGGCUCACCUAGGCGACGAUCCCUAGCUGGUCUGAGAGGAUGACCAGCCACACUGGAACUGAGACACGGUCCAGACUCCUACGGGAGGCAGCAGUGGGGAAUAUUGCACAAUGGGCGCAAGCCUGAUGCAGCCAUGCCGCGUGUAUGAAGAAGGCCUUCGGGUUGUAAAGUACUUUCAGCGGGGAGGAAGGGAGUAAAGUUAAUACCUUUGCUCAUUGACGUUACCCGCAGAAGAAGCACCGGCUAACUCCGUGCCAGCAGCCGCGGUAAUACGGAGGGUGCAAGCGUUAAUCGGAAUUACUGGGCGUAAAGCGCACGCAGGCGGUUUGUUAAGUCAGAUGUGAAAUCCCCGGGCUCAACCUGGGAACUGCAUCUGAUACUGGCAAGCUUGAGUCUCGUAGAGGGGGGUAGAAUUCCAGGUGUAGCGGUGAAAUGCGUAGAGAUCUGGAGGAAUACCGGUGGCGAAGGCGGCCCCCUGGACGAAGACUGACGCUCAGGUGCGAAAGCGUGGGGAGCAAACAGGAUUAGAUACC
rnacentral:rRNA from 1 species